rnacentral:rRNA from 1 species
AGCGAACGCUGGCGGUAUGCUUAACACAUGCAAGUCGAGCGAGAAAAUGGCUUCGGCCAUGAGUACAGCGGCGGACGGGUGAGUAAUACAUGGAUAAUCUGCCUUUAGGACCGGGACAACCCAGGGAAACUUGGGCUAAUACCGGAUAAGACCACAGAAUCUCCGGAUUCAGUGGUAAAAGAUGGCUUCGGCUAUCACCUAUAGAUGAGUCCAUGUCCCAUCAGGUAGUUGGUGAGGUAACGGCCCACCAAGCCGAAGACGGGUAGCCGACCUUAGCGGGUGAUCGGCCACACGGGGACUGAGACACGGCCCCGACUCCUACGGGAGGCAGCAGUGGGGAAUAUUGGACAAUGGGCGCAAGCCUGAUCCAGCAAUACCGCGUGAGGGAUGAAGGCUUUCGAGUCGUAAACCUCUGUCAGUUGGAACGAUGGGUCUGUAGGUUAAUACCCUGCAGACUUGACGGUACCUUCAAAGGAAGCCCCGGCUAACUCCGUG